rnacentral:rRNA from 1 species
UACGGAGGGGGCAAGCGUUAUUCGGAAUUAUUGGGCGUAAAGGGCAGGUAGGCGGCUUCGUGUGUCUCUUGUGAAAGCCCUCGGCUCAACUGAGGAAUUGCAAGGGAAACUACGGAGCUUGAGUCCGGGAGAGGAGAGUGGAAUUCCCAGUGUAGCGGUGAAAUGCGUAGAUAUUGGGAGGAACACCGGUGGCGAAGGCGGCUCUCUGGACCGGUACUGACGCUGAGCUGCGAAAGCUAGGGGAGCAAACGGG